rnacentral:rRNA from 1 species
GUUGAUCAUGGCUCAGGAUGAACGCUAGCGGAACGCCUAACACAUGCAAGUCGAACGGAUUCUGCGUUGUAGCAAUACAUAGUAGAAUUAGUGGCAACGAGCGAGUAACGCGUGCCUAACCUGCCCUUAAGAUGGGAACAACUACGGAGACGUAGCUAAAUCCCAAUAUGCUCACGAUGGUGAAAUAGCCGAUGCGAGGAAAGAUUUAUCGCCUAAGGAGGGGGGCGCGUCCUAUCAGGUAGUUGGUUGAGGUAACGGCUCACCAAGCCGAUGACAGGUAGCUGGUCUGAGAUGAUGUCCAGCCGCGAUGGGACUGAGAUACGGCCCAUACUCCUACGGGAGGCAGCAGUGGGGAAUCUUGCACAAUGGACGAAAGUCUGAUGCCAGCGAUCCCGCGUGAAGGAUGAAGCAUUACGGUGUGUAAACUUCUUUUUGGUGGAAGACGAAUGACGGUACACCAAGAAUAAGAGACGGCUAACUACGUGCCAGCCGCAGC